CCCACCCAGUGCCUGCCCUGCAAACUGGUCCUUCCUGCCAAGGCCCCCGCACAGCCUGGCACCCUCAUACCUUCGUUGGUCCCUUCAGCCCAGAGAUAAAAUGAGCUACGUGGCCCCUGGAAUGCAGCUCUGCCCUGCUGUGGGAAGGGCCAGGGUGGCUGCCCAUCCAGUGAGGCAGGGCGGGCUGUAGGCUGGGGUGGUCAGCCAGGCUGGGUGAGGUGUGGGUGUU
rnacentral:lncRNA from 1 species